CAAUAUCUCCUGUGAUUAGGGAAAAUUGAAACUGAUAAGAAACUUCGAAAUCGAAACACUCGAACCCGGUGGGUGAAUCAGAGUGGCUCCGGUAGCCGGUAAGCUAUCUCUUUCUUCUUUUGUUUAGGUUUUUGUAUAGAUGAUAAGCAGAAUUACUGUAUAUUUAGGUUUAAGCUUUGACAAACGGAUUUCUCCUCCUUUCUGAUGAUGUUUCUGUUCGAGAGUAAACCUGCUAUAACUCCUCCGGCGAACAUUGGAAGAUCGGGAUAAGAGAAGACGAAGCAAGAAUCGGAAGAGGAAACACACUCACGAAUCACGAAUCACGAUCAUCUCCUAUCUCCUGUGAUGAGGGAAAACUGAAACUGAUAACAAACUUCGAAAUCGAAACAGUCGAGAUAAACGGCCCUUCGGUUUGGAUUUUGUCUUUUAGUCGGAUGAUCGAGGAUCGAUCAUAUCAAAAUCUGGUUCUACGGACGUAAUCUACGGUUGAUAUAAUUUGGACAUAAAGCUAGGGAUGAUAGCUAAUAAGCCUGAUAUAGGUAAUAUGGUUUAUAUAUAUCUACGGUUGUAAUUUGUAAAUAUGUUUCUGUAUUUUCUAUUUAAUUUACUUAUAAAUAAGUAGUCCUAUAAGGAUGUGACCUAUUAAUUUUGCUCUAUGCGGCUUUUCUACUAUCUUAAUUGAAUUUCAAUCCUCUCAAAUCUCAACUACCGUCGUCAAUACCACCACAAAACUAACGAACACCACCAUCUGCUUCCAAUCAUCCCAGAUAUUAAACUCUUUCUCAAAUCUCCUCGAUUGAUUCAUCCAUCCGCAUUUCGACAUGGAAUCGGCAAAGCACG
rnacentral:lncRNA from 1 species